rnacentral:rRNA from 1 species
UGGGAAUUUUGGACAAUGGGCGAAAGCCUGAUCCAGCCAUGCCGCGUGCAGGAUGAAGGCCUUCGGGUUGUAAACUGCUUUUGUACGGAACGAAAAGACUCUGGUUAAUACCUGGGGUCCAUGACGGUACCGUAAGAAUAAGCACCGGCUAACUACGUGCCAGCAGCCGCGGUAAUACGUAGGGUGCAAGCGUUAAUCGGAAUUACUGGGCGUAAAGCGUGCGCAGGCGAUUAUAUAAGACAGAUGAGAAAUCCCCGGGCUCAACCUGGGAACUGCAUUUGUGACUGUAUAGCUAGAGUACGGCAGAGGGGGAUGGAAUUCCGCGUGUAGCAGUGAAAUGCGUAGAUAUGCGGAGGAACACCGAUGGCGAAGGCAAUCCCCUGGGCCUGUACUGACGCUCAUGCACGAAAAGCGUGGGGAGCAAACAGGAUUAGAUACCCUGGUAGUCCACGCCCUAAAACGAUGUCAACUGGUUGUUGGGUCUUCACUGACUCAGUAACGAAGCUAACGCGUGAAGUUGACCGCCUGGGGAGUGCGGCCGCAAGG